GUGUAUUUAUGUGUGUUCUCUAAUGUGGAAGGCAACGAGAGACGCUGCAGGGCGAUGAAGUAUAAGCAAGUGUGCGUCCAAGGCAGCGCUGAAUGCUAACUUCAAAUGAAGAACGUCUUCAGUUAGAGGAAGUCAGAGAAAAUGCCUCGGGAGGGAAAAGGCAUCAACUCUGACUGUGAGUACGUAAUAAUAUUUUGUCAGGAGUCCUUCUCUUAUUCCUAUUCAACUACAGACUUUCAGCUAGCAUUAAUCUUCUAAUCAGAAGGGAACAAAUCUAUUUAUAAUUGACAUAAAUGAUAGUCCUAUUUAUAGUUCUCUUUGGCGUUCCAUGUUUCUCCGCGGGAGAUUUUCCCUGAAACAAAAGCCUACUUUUUGGAGCAACCAGCGGUGUUCCAGGGACAGCCUUCAUCACUUCAGUUGCCCAGGAGCUGAAUUUAAUUAACCUCCUACCCCUGCUCCUGAUCAUGCACGCCUCCUGCUUUAGCCCUAGUCCUUCUGGUCCACAGAAGUCAUGUUUGACCCAGAAAAGCAGUGGCCGUCCGUACACUCAGAGGAAGGCGAGUGGGUGCCACCGUGGCCACCCACUGUCAUCUUCUGAAGACGUUCUAGCCCAGCUCUCCACUUCUCACAGCUCCACGCUCAAAUCAUCUCUAGAAACAUGUGCUGGGCCUUGAUUUUCUGAGAAUUCUGUGACGACUCCACAGGUAUUGCCCUAUCCUAUUCCCACAAAAGCUUCUUCUGGUAGGCAGGCAGGCACAAAUGUACACAUUUUACGAAGGAGAGAAUUUCCCAGAGGUUCACAGCUCAUGACCGACCGGCUCAUUCCAGGCACUCUCAGCAGGGCGUGCAGGUGUCCCCAACCCAGAGCCAAAGCGCUUGCUGCUACUCAAAGUAGUAUUUCUACCAGGAAAAUAAACACAACUGCAAAGUGUCCAGGCACUCACAGUUGGAUUUUUGCCUACUUCAGAACAAGCUGCUUUGAGGAAUCCUGGGGCUGAAAGCAAAGGAACCAAAGAUGGCCAUGUUCUCUGUCUCUGGCCCUGUGUGCACCAGGGGGUGUGGAGGUUGGGUGUGAGGUGGAGCUCAUGGCUCCAGGUAGAAUUUGGAUGCAUCACUGAAUUUGAGUUGGAAAGAAUGGCCUCGAACUUCACAAGAGGAGGAAUUUUUUUUUUUAAAAAAAUGAAUUUUCUAUCAACUCAAGGUCAAACCAGCUUGUCCACACAGUAUUUCUGGCCCCCUCAGGCUGCAGAGUGAGGGCCCAGGGAGACAGAGGGCAUGAAGGUGAUAAAGUCCACCUUAUUUUUAGACCUCCAUAGAAGACCUUACAAGACUGCGUAUAAAGAGAGAAUGAAAAUGCUUGGUACUCAUUGGAAAUUCAGUAAACAUGUUUGAAAAUCUUCUAUGUCCAGGAGGAAAAAAAUACCAUUUGAUAUAUUAUUAUUUCCUUGAAUGGUAUGUAGGAUGAUCAUUCCUACAUAUGAGUAAGGACCCCUUCCUUUUUUUCUUUGGUACCGGGGAUUGAACUCGGGACCUUGCACUUGGGAGGCAGGCAGCGGAAUCACUGAGCUAAAUCCCCAGCAGGACUGCUUUCUUAAGCAGAUAGAAGGACCUUGGGGCUUUUAUAUUUUUCCUUGGGACCAUGGUAGGUACUCAUUAAUAUUUAUGUCUCUUUUGCUUAUUUUAGCUUUUUCUUGGUUUCUAGUACUGCCUAGGUAUACUGUCAUCCAUACAACACUGCUGAGUUUAAUUACAUUUCAAUAGAGUAACAUUUUUUCUCUUUGGUCAGUAUUUUACAAGUGAUCAUUCCAAUCAAAAUUCAUUAAGUUGGAUCCAUUAAGUUCGAAAUUUGAGUCUAUAACCUUCGGGCUCAGUGAUAGCCUUUCUGCUGAUGCACACAGGAAUGAGAGCUCCUUUCUAGGUACUCAGAAACUUUCGAAAUAGAUGGUUUUGAAGGUAGCAGGCAGAGCCCUUUGCAUUUUUAUUUGUCUGCAGGUAUUUGUGCUCUACCUGGCUCAUUUCACUGCUCCUGUGGGGCCCAGGAAUGGAUCAAGUCCUGGAAAUCUAACACACGCUGAGUGUCCUGAAGGAUCUGCAGAUGCUCCUUGUGAGGGUGUUGCAAAGGGAAACCGAAUCUGCUACUGGAAAAGCCCCAGCCCAUGAACCCCUUCAUCUUCCCUGCAGCAGAGAACUGGAUAGAGCUGCCGCAUUGCAGAAAAAUACACGGAUUCACUCAAUCAAACCUUAGGCUAGAAGCACAAAGUGGGAAUUUGCCCAUUCGAACAGUAGGAAGUACUUCUGAUUCUCUGACGCGUGUCCUUUUUCGCCAAAUCCAUGGUAAGCCCAGAUUCUGUCUCCCUCCGAGCUUCCUCCUUCUCCUCUUUCCUACUCAUCUCCAGAUGGGCAGACACUCCCUUGCUCAAGUCUUACACUAACACACACACACACACACACUCCACCUGACUAGAGAGAGGCCAACAUUUGGUAAGAAGAUGAGAGAGAUCUCAAGUGUGAGUCAUCAUGGGAGCUAUUCAGAGCUUGGGAGGUGACUGAGGUAAGCUGUCUACACUUGAGUGAUGUGAACCUUAGAGAAUGAUUCCUGCUCAGGUUCCUGGAGCCCUCUGAGAUUCCAAACAAUGGUACGAAGAGAGCAUCUGGCUUUGAGUUUCUCACUGUCUUGUAAUGCACAGUGGUCAUUUCCCUCAGGUAUACAGGCUUGGUUGUGCUCUUGCCUGCAGGCAUUGCAAUACACGGCUGCCUGCUCUUACUGACUGUCGACCUUCUAGUUGUCUGGGACCAAUUUAUGAGACAGGUGACUCUGCUUGUCAAAGACCCUUCUCCAGACGGAGACACCGCUGAAAAGUCCCACAGAAGAGCUCUGCCAAAGCAAUGCAGUGACAAAAGGGACCAAGGGGUGGAAGCCUGAGAGGAGGCCCUAAUACUAGAAGGAAGGCUCCGCAGGAAGUAAAGACGAACCCGAAGGAGGACAGCGCCACGCCCAUCUGUGAAACCUGCUGAAGCUCAUGGGCUCUCAGCGGCCGGGUCAUCUCCUCACACACACACCCUGCGACCGUCAACGCGCAGAGCCACACUCUCCGGACUCUGGGCCGCGAGGCGAGAGGGAGGGA